rnacentral:rRNA from 1 species
CCGUAUCAUGCUAGUGUUAGGGGGUUUCCGCCCCUUAGUGCUGCAGCUAACGCAUUAAGCACUCCGCCUGGGGAGUACGGUCGCAAGACUGAAACUCAAAGGAAUUGACGGGGGCCCGCACAAGCGGUGGAGCAUGUGGUUUAAUUCGAAGCAACGCGAAGAACCUUACCAGGUCUUGACAUCCUCUGACAACCCUAGAGAUAGGGCUUUCCCUUCGGGGACAGAGUGACAGGUGGUGCAUGGUUGUCGUCAGCUCGUGUCGUGAGAUGUUGGGUUAAGUCCCGCAACGAGCGCAACCCUUGAUCUUAGUUGCCAGCAUUCAGUUGGGCACUCUAAGGUGACUGCCGGUGACAAACCGGAGGAAGGUGGGGAUGACGUCAAAUCAUCAUGCCCCUUAUGACCUGGGCUACACACGUGCUACAAUGGACAGAACAAAGGGCUGCGAGACCGCAAGGUUUAGCCAAUCCCCACAAAUCUGUUCUCAGUUCGGAUCGCAGUCUGCAACUCGACUGCGUGAAUGCUGGGAAGCGCUAGCAGUCCGCGGA